rnacentral:rRNA from 1 species
UACGAGAGGCCCAAACGUUAUUCGGAUUUACUGGGCUUAAAGAGUUCGUAGGCGGCUUGGAAAGUGGGGUGUGAAAGCCCUCGGCUCAACCGAGGAAUUGCGCUCCAAACUACCGAGCUUGAGGAAGCUAGAGGUGAGCAGAACUGAUGGUGGAGCGGUGAAAUGCGUUGAUAUCAUCAGGAAUACCGGAGGCGAAGGCGGCUCACUGGGACUUUUCUGACGCUGAGGAACGAAAGCUAGGGGAGCAAACGGG